GAUGAACGCUGGCGGUGUGCCUAACACAUGCAAGUCGAGCGACCACACGAGAAGCUCGUGCUUUUACCGGUAGCGGGGGACGGGCGAGUAAGAAGUACAUCGCAAUCUACUUUUUCUGGGAUAAUAACGUGGGACAGCUGAUACUAAUAGCUCAUAUAUCCUACCGCUUGAAUCAAUAGAUCUUCAGACCUUUCGCGAUACAAUUAGCCGACGCCGCAUUAGCUAGGUGGCUAGGUAAGGGCUCACCAAGGCAACGAUGCGUAGCCGGCCUGAGAGGAUGAUCGGCCACACUGGAACUGAGACACGGUCCAGACUCCUACGGGAGGCAGCAGUAGGGAAUCUUCCGCAAUGGGCGAAAGCCUGACGGAGCAACGCCGCGUGAGUGAUGAAGGUCUUCGGAUCGUAAAACUCUGUUAUUAGGGAAGAAAAAAUGUAGAAGUAACUAUGCACGUCUUGACGGUACCUAAUCAGAAAGCCACGGCUAACUACGUG
rnacentral:rRNA from 1 species